rnacentral:rRNA from 1 species
CACGUAGGGCGCAAGCGUUGUCCGGAAUUAUUGGGCGUAAAGAGCUCGUAGGUGGUUUGUUACGUCUGCUGUGAAAUCCUAGGGCUUAACCCUGGGCUUGCAGUGGAUACGGGCAGACUAGAGGUAGGUAGGGGAGAAUGGAAUUCCUGGUGUAGCGGUGAAAUGCGCAGAUAUCAGGAGGAACACCGGUGGCGAAGGCGGCUCUCUGGAACGCAACUGACGCUGAGACGCGAAAGCGUGGGGAGCGAACAGG